rnacentral:rRNA from 1 species
GACGUAGGAGGCGAGCGUUGUCCGGAUUCAUUGGGCGUAAAGAGCACGCAGGCGGUUUGGCAAGUCGAUGUGAAAGCCCGGAGCUCAACUCCGGACCUGCAUCCGAAACUGCCCGACUAGAGGUAGGUAGGGGAGAUCGGAAUUCCUGGUGUAGCGGUGAAAUGCGCAGAUAUCAGGAGGAACACCGGUGGCGAAGGCGGCCAUCUGGGAAGCGACUGACGCUGAGACGCGAAAGCGUGGGGAUCAAACAGG